GGGGAGCAUCUAUGAGGUAAGAUGUUGCCCGAUACAAUCUUCCCACAGUAAAACUCUGUCAUAAUCUGCUUGAGAUACUUGAGAGAGUUCUUCAAGCUAUUGAUUAGGAGGCACAUAA
rfam:Nicotiana sylvestris Nsyl_contig68044, whole genome shotgun sequence.